rnacentral:tRNA from 1 species
GGGCGGUUAGCUCAGUUGGUUAGAGCACUACAUUGACAUUGUAGAGGUCAGAGGUUCAAAUCCUCUAUCGCCCACCA